CCUACGGGCGGCAGCAGUGGGGAAUAUUGCACAAUGGGGGAAACCCUGAUGCAGCGACGCCGCGUGAGUGAAGAAGUAUUUCGGUAUGUAAAGCUCUAUCAGCAGGGAAGAAAUAGCGACCUUUGGGUCGCCAGACGGUACCUGAUUAAGAAGCCCCGGCUAACUACGUGCCAGCAGCCGCGGUAAUACGGAGGGGGCAAGCGUUAUCCGGAAUGACUGGGCGUAAAGGGUGCGUAGGUGGUUUAGUAAGUUGGCGGUGUAAUUCCGGGGCUCAACCUCGGCGCUACCGCCAAAACUAUUAGACGAGAGUGCAGGAGAGGUAAGUGGAAUUCCGGGGGUAGCGGUGGAAUGCGUAGAUAUUAGGAGGAACAUCAGGGGCGAAGGCGACUUACUGGACUGUAACUGACACUGAGGCACGAAAGCGUGGGGAGCAAACAGGAUUAGAUACCCGGGUAGUC
rnacentral:rRNA from 1 species